UUCAUGCCUUGUGAUGUUUUUAAGAAGUCAUUUUGGGGACCUUCUCCAGAUAAUAUUCCUUGGAAGCACUGGGCUUUAUUCUGUUUGAAUGUCUAUGUCUUAUAACUCCUAAAAAGGAAAUUUAUACUAUACAUGCUUUUCUUUAGGUCUUUGCCUAGGUACAUAGUUUCCUUGUCAUCUUUAGUGUCUUUGGUGGAACUGAAUUUUUACUGUUCCAAUCUUAAUAAUAUAAAUGUUGCUUGGCAAUUUCUAAUCAUUUCUUUGAAUAACUUUUUUUUCUUUAAGGGCUAAAAAUAGUCUUCACCCAAGAAUGAAUUAUGUUUGCCCUCUUCCAUGAAUGUGUUGCUCUCUCAAAGGAUUCUGUGCGACUAUUAAAUUUAUAUUUAAAUUUUUUUUAUUUCCUGGGACUCUAAGGCUCUAUAAUUUCUAAAAAUUAUUUAAGAAUGACUUUUCAUUAUGAUUAUUAUCAGUAGUAUAUAAUUGAUC
rnacentral:lncRNA from 1 species